GGCUCAGGAUGAACGCUAGCUACAGGCUUAACACAUGCAAGUCGAGGGGAAACGACAUCGAAAGCUUGCUUUUGGUGGGCGUCGACCGGCGCACGGGUGAGUAACGCGUAUCCAACCUGCCCACCACUUGGGGAUAACCUUGCGAAAGUAAGACUAAUACCCAAUGAUAUCCCACGAAGGCAUCCGAAUGGGAUUAAAGAUUUAUCGGUGAUGGAUGGGGAUGCGUCUGAUUAGCUUGUUGGCGGGGUAACGGCCCACCAAGGCAACGAUCAGUAGGGGUUCUGAGAGGAAGGUCCCCCACAUUGGAACUGAGACACGGUCCAAACUCCUACGGGAGGCAGCAGUGAGGAAUAUUGGUCAAUGGGCGGAAGCCUGAACCAGCCAUGCCGCGUGCAGGAUGACGGCCCUACGGGUUGUAAACUGCUUUUGCUGUGGAGCAAUAAGGGUCACGUGCUGACCCGAUGAGAGUACACAGCGAAUAAGCAUCGGCUAACUCCGUG
rnacentral:rRNA from 1 species